UUUUAUAGUUUUCACACAUUAUCAUUAUGCGUAAAGAUACUAAGAUAAUAGGUAGAAAAUAUCAGUAGUAUUAGAGUUGAGCAGUCUACUGUAGGUUUUUCCUCCUUUUCCCCAAGAGGUGCAUUAGCUGGUGGCGGUGAUGCCUGCAGGCAGUCCUCGGUUGCCGGGGAAACACAGAUGGUGGAUGAAGCGCGCAUACAAAAGACCAUAAACCUGUGGCAGCAGCUGGAGACCGAGACCGCCGAUUAAUUCCCGUCUGUGCCUCCUCGCUCAGUCAAAGACAUCGGCGUUGUGUUUAAUACCUUCCAUCUAUUUUCUUUGUCCCGGGGCUUCCGUUUCUUCUUCAUCCUGUUUUCCCCGGACUGGACUCCAGUCAGUGCGCAGCUGUUGUUGGCACUCCCACAUCUGCUUGUGUCUCAGGUCGGCAGCCAUAAAGACGACGUUCAGCCGCGGAUCCUUUGGUAGACGAAGCUCCAGGUCCAGAGGGAGAGCAGCCUUUUUACUGCAGGCGAAACCACACAGACCUGCUUUAUCACACAUACAGUAGGAAGUUUAAUCUGAGCAUGGAGAAGGAGGAAGACGAUGCGCUGACGACGUCGCACCGUUUGAUACUGCGGGACAGGUGCGUGUGGAAGCUGGAGGUCUGUGGUAACCCUAUGGUCAUGAGGCUUGGACUUUGCCCUGGAUCCAGCUGCUGUCAGGACACUGGGAGGAUCCACAUGGGACCCACAGCAGGACAGGUUAUGUGUACAUGAUGAAUUAUCUUUUCUAAAAUCAGGAAGGAGGUUAAUUCUCAUCAUCACAUAAUAUGAGAGAAAAUACAGCAGGGGAAUUUAAAUAUAGCCUGAGAGUUUUUCAGUGUUGUAAAGAAAGGCUGUCUCUAGAGGUUCAUGUCUUAUACUAGUGUGUUUCACUCUCGUUUGCAUCAGGCUGAAUAAAAGAUGUAUGAGUAGAAAUAAUUAAGGGAAAUAAAGAGCAAUCCCUGCAUAGCUUUGGGUGGACAGUUGGGUUGCGUCCCACUUUUCUGCUGCUUUGUUUCAUGUGUUCUUCUCCAGUUACACUGAUGUGAAAGCAGACUGGGACUCACACUGGACCUCAUUGUCCUCCCGGCGGCGUCGCUCCAACAUCCACUGUAUACUGCCUCUAAUAGACUGUGUUUGAUGCCAUCACUGCUGUCCUGCUCCUGUAGAUGAAGAUGAUCCAGGCUCAGACUUUCCUGACUGAUGGACUACAGAGAUGACCUCUGACCUUUGUGUGUGAUUAAGUUCAAUACACCACCAAUGGAUUGUGGUCAGCGUCAGUGUAAUAUGUUUUUAUAAGGUGGUUUAUUGAGCCAAGAAUAAUUCGCUGUUGUAGGGUAUUCUGUUCCCUCUUGGUUGUUUGUGUGUUUUCUUUGGGUGUGAGUAAUAUUUUUAUUGCUUCAUCCACUCCUCCGCUGUUUUUGAUUAAUCAAAAACAGUGACACAAUGUCCAACGGACACCCCUCACACAUUUUUCAGCUGAUGAUUGCGGACACCUCUUCUCUGUGUUACCUUGGUUACUCUGCUUUUUCCACAUAGAAGACAUUUACAAUUCACAAGGACGCUGUGGUGUCUGUUAGCCUGGCACUUUACUCUCUAUCCUAGACCCACAACUGGAAAACACUGACAUUUUAAGCCUGUAAAAAAACCACAUUGAUACUGUAUAUUAUGUUUCCAUUUUGAAAAAAAAUCCCAUAAUUAACUCUACAUGUUCUUUGUUUACACUGAAAUCUCCCAAAUCAGCUGUGGUGCCAACUAUUUUCUACUGUGUGUACAUUACUGCUGUGUGGGUGUGUGUUCUUGUGUGAGUGCAUGUGUUUGUGUGCAUGUGCUGCAACUGUGUGCGUGUUUACUCCUGUAUGUGUGCAUGUGUAAUUCCUGUUUGUCUACCAAACCUAUUUGUUAUGGGCCUGAGCUAUAAGCUGCUUUUCAGUGAUUUUCUCAAAGCUGCAAACUGUUAAAAUGCCUGAAGCUGUUCUUUUAGCCUCUAAAUGUUCCAGACAAGGGAUAAGAUAUUUACAAAUGAUUAUUAGCAUUUACUCAAAAGUCAAUGAAAUGCCAGUUACGUUAGAAUUUUUGUGGUAUAGAUAAUGAGAAGAAUGUCACUGAAGAUUAAUGGUUUGUAUUUUUCUAAAUGAUGCCCAGUGGCUUUCAUUAAAUCAGCCUGGUGCCAUAAAGCCCAUCAUCUUAUGUUUAAGGAAAUUACACAGAAUGCUAAUAAUUACAUGCAAAUAACCUUUUACCCAGGUCUGGAUUGUACUAACAGAAUCUCACUAAUAUCUAACAGUACUAAUGUCUGCUAACAGUCAGAUGAUUACUAACCUAUCCUUGCUAAUUACUGUGCUAAUGGCUGGCCUUGUUCCUAACCCUCCAACUAACUCUCUGCUUUAUGCUCGCAGUCUGAUGCACAUACUCCUUUUCCAUCAUCCUGCAGCCCUUUUUGGUCUAUAAAUGAACUAUUCAGUAGAAGUGUUUGAGAAGGAAUCAGUGAAAAUGUUAAAGUGUGCAUGUUAUGGAAGGUUUCAGGAUUUGGAAAGGAGAAUGUUACAAGAUUCAAAAAGAGCAGAAACUGCUGUUACUAUCAAUCUGGGUUGACCACACAGGUUUCUUUAGAGAAUUCACAUAAAGUCUUAUCAUCAGAUUCCAAUUAUUAUGUUUUCAGAUGACACAGUGUAAAUUCCUGUCUUCUGGGACUUCCAUUAUGAUGGUUCUGUGCACUGUGUGGUCAACCUCUGCAGGUGAGUGUCUGGCUUGUUGUCAACACAGGGAAUGUAGUAAACUACAAGCCAAGCAAACCCAAACUCCACUACUAACUGAUGAGUUGUUACUAACAGUGCAAGCAUCCACCUGUUGCUCUGACUAACAUUUCUGUACUCUUUUCAACUAAUACCUGAUUGUUGUCUCAAUCUGCAACCUAAUUAUCUUAGAGAUUUUGUACUCCUUAUCAACACAUGCCCUGUGGCAAAAUACAAUGGAAGAUUCUAAAACUUUUAACUAAUGUAUUUUCUCGUGCCUUGAGUGUGUUCUUCUAUACUCUGAGUGAAGCCUCAUAGCUCUAAGAGUAUCUUAGAAUGUGUUUGUGACCUGCUCUAUCAGUAGAUACAAAGAAAAUGCAUAAAUUACACUGUUCUGUGCCUUGCAAACUACUAACAUCUCCUUGAGUUUAAUUAACACAUACUAACCCAAAGAGCUGCCAGUGGCUCUUUACAAACUAACAAACUAACCUACUAAUAAAAGUAUGAUCUAACAAACUAACUGAAAUCACUAACUUUGUAGAAUCUGUGAAGUAACCUCAGUCUGAGUUAUUGGAUCAGUUAAUGAAUGUGUUAUCAGAGUAAAUCUCUGUUUAAAAAAAGGAAAAUAAUAUGCUUGUACAUUAUGUGUGAACGAGUGUGUGUUUGUGUGGGUGUGAGGAAAUAAAUCUUUCAAGCUGUGACCUGAUUCUGAAAAACAAUCAUUUGGCAUUGAAGUGCAUCUGAGUUUAUGGGAGUGACCUAGUCCAAAUGUAAUAAUGAAACUCUGCUGAGGAUCAGGUUCCUGAUCUAACACAAAAGAUGACUGUUAUUCAAUGAUGAAGUGUCAUUCAUGAAA